UAGUGAGUUUGAUCCUGGCUCAGGGUGAACGCUGGCGGCGUUCUUAAGACAUGCAAGUCGAACGCAAGUAGAAAUACUUGAGUGGCGGACGGGUGAGUAACGCGUGAGAAUCUGCCUUCUGGUCGGGGACAACCACUGGAAACGGUGGCUAAUACCGGAUAUGCCUAUGGGUGAAAGAUUAAUUGCCAGAAGAAGAGCUCGCGUCUGAUUAGCUAGUUGGAGAGGUAAUGGCUUACCAAGGCGACGAUCCAUAGCUGGUCUGAGAGGAUGAUCAGCCACAC
rnacentral:rRNA from 1 species